GGGUUCAGUUUUACAAUUCAAACGCUUUGCCCGGUAUAAUUGUGAACGGUAAAGCGUAGGAAUUCUAAAACCGAACAC